rnacentral:snRNA from 1 species
CUACGAGUCGGGUUGUUUGG